rnacentral:rRNA from 1 species
GACGAACGCUGGCGGCAUGCCUAAUACAUGCAAGUCGAGCGAACAGAUGAAGUGCUUGCACUUCUGACGUUAGCGGCGAACGGGUGAGUAACACGUAAGGAAUCUACCUAUAAGCGGGGGAUAACAUUCGGAAACGGGUGCUAAUACCGCAUAAUAUCUUCUUCCGCAUGGAAGAAGAUUGAAAGACGGCUCUGCUGUCACUUAUAGAUGACCUUGCGGUGCAUUAGUUAGUUGGUGGGGUAAUGGCCUACCAAGACGAUGAUGCAUAGCCGACCUGAGAGGGUGAUCGGCCACAUUGGGACUGAGACACGGCCCAAACUCCUACGGGAGGCAGCAGUAGGGAAGCUUCCGCAAUGGGCGAAAGCCUGACGGAGCAAUGCCGCGUGAGUGAAGAAGGCCUUCGGGUCGUAAAACUCUGUUGCCAGGGAAGAACGAGUGGGAGAGUAACUGCUCUUGCUAUGACGGUACCUGAGAAGAAAGCCCCGGCUAACUACGUGCCAGCCGCCGCAGUAA